UUCCCUGAAAAAGGUCACCUUCAAUCAAAAUAAGGUAGGAUUUGAGGCUACAGGUUUGAGGGUGAAACCAAGUAAGAUUAAAGCAGAUGGAAUGAAGGGAGUGAAGUGGUGAAAUAUAUAGAGAUUGCUGCGUGGUUAUUGCUAUGAACAAUAUCUUGGAAGCCUAAGUUCCUCCUCAAUCCAAAGAAAGGUCUCUCAGUAUCGGGGAUCAAACUUAAGACCUUAUGCUUGCAGGCCGGCACAGCACCACUGAGCUACAACUCCAGACCCCACUGCUUUUUGUAGAAGAAUAAUUACCAUUGCAUGAACACGCUAUAAUUUGUUUAUCCAUUUAUCAGUGGAUGAACAUGUGAGCUGUUUUCACCU